UCCCGGGAUGCAUAACAAAUCUCUUUGUCCAGACAUUGUUCCUCUGGUUGUCCAAUGCUUUGAAGUUUCAGCAGUAGACAUUCCAUUAAUUGACUGCUUGCACUCUGAUCCAAUUUAUUGCAUUUGCUAAGAUCCAUCAUCAGACAGGAAUUCAUAUAUCCUUGUAUGAAUGAGCUCGAUACAGAUUCCAGAGAUGUGCAGUUUUCUGCAAAUAACCUCAUUAGACC
rnacentral:misc_RNA from 1 species